rnacentral:rRNA from 1 species
UACGUAGGGUGCGAGCGUUAAUCGGAAUUACUGGGCGUAAAGCGUGCGCAGGCGGUGGCUCAAGUCAGAUGUGAAAUCCCUAGGCUUAACCUGGGAAUUGCAUUUGAAACUAGGUCGCUAGAGUUUGGCAGAGGGGGGUGGAAUUCCACGUGUAGCAGUGAAAUGCGUAGAUAUGUGGAGGAACACCGAUGGCGAAGGCAGCCCCCUGGGUUAACACUGACGCUCAUGCUCGAAAGCUAGGGGAGCAAACAGG